rnacentral:rRNA from 1 species
CGCUAGCUACAGGCUUAACACAUGCAAGUCGAGGGGCAGCAUGGUCUUAGCUUGCUAAGGCCGAUGGCGACCGGCGCACGGGUGAGUAACACGUAUCCAACCUGCCGUCUACUCUUGGACAGCCUUCUGAAAGGAAGAUUAAUACAAGAUGGCAUCAUGAGUCCACAUGUUCACAUGAUUAAAGGUAUUCCGGUAGACGAUGGGGAUGCGUUCCAUUAGAUAGUAGGCGGGGUAACGGCCCACCUAGUCUUCGAUGGAUAGGGGUUCUGAGAGGAAGGUCCCCCACAUUGGAACUGAGACACGGUCCAAACUCCUACGGGAGGCAGCAGUGAGGAAUAUUGGUCAAUGGGCGAGAGCCUGAACCAGCCAAGUAGCGUGAAGGAUGACUGCCCUAUGGGUUGUAAACUUCUUUUAUAAAGGAAUAAAGUCGGGUAUGCAUACCCGUUUGCAUGUACUUUAUGAAUAAGGAUCGGCUAACUCCGUGCCAGCAGCCGCGGUAAUACGGAGGAUCCGAGCGUUAUCCGGAUUUAUUGGGUUUAAAGGGAGCGUAGAUGGAUGUUUAAGUCAGUUGUGAAAGUUUGCGGCUCAACCGUAAAAUUGCAGUUGAUACUGGAUAUCUUGAGUGCAGUUGAGGCAGGCGGAAUUCGUGGUGUAGCGGUGAAAUGCUUAGAUAUCACGAAGAACUCCGAUUGCGAAGGCAGCCUGCUAAGCUGCAACUGACAUUGAGGCUCGAAAGUGUGGGUAUCAAACAGGAUUAGAUACCCUGGUAGUCCACACGGUAAACGAUGAAUACUCGCUGUUUGCGAUAUACAGCAAGCGGCCAAGCGAAAGCGUUAAGUAUUCCGCCUGGGGAGUACGCCGGCAACGGUGAAACUCAAAGGAAUUGACGGGGGCCCGCACAAGCGGAGGAACAUGUGGUUUAAUUCGAUGAUACGCGAGGAACCUUACCCGGGCUUAAAUUGCAGAUGAAUUACGGUGAAAGCCGUAAGCCGCAAGGCAUCUGUGAAGGUGCUGCAUGGUUGUCGUCAGCUCGUGCCGUGAGGUGUCGGCUUAAGUGCCAUAACGAGCGCAACCCUUGUUGUCAGUUACUAACAGGUCAUGCUGAGGACUCUGACAAGACUGCCAUCGUAAGAUGUGAGGAAGGUGGGGAUGACGUCAAAUCAGCACGGCCCUUACGUCCGGGGCUACACACGUGUUACAAUGGGGGGUACAGAGGGCCGCUACCACGCGAGUGGAUGCCAAUCCCAAAAACCUCUCUCAGUUCGGACUGGAGUCUGCAACCCGACUCCACGAAGCUGGAUUCGCUAGUAAUCGCGCAUCAGCCACGGCGCGGUGAAUACGUUCCCGGGCCUUGUACACACCGCCCGUCAAGCCAUGGGAGCCGGGGGUACCUGAAGUGCGUAACCGCGAGGAGCGCCCUAGGGUAAAACUGGUGAC